GACAACAACUGUACCAACAACAACGACCAUACCGACAACUACAGAAUCAACGACUCCCGAGGGAACGACAUCUACAACUACGGCUACCACUAGCACAACCACGUCUACGACCACUCAUAGCACAACGACAGAGUGUGACAUCCAAAUGAUUUCACAAGAUGACACGACUGAUGUUGUUUCCAGCACUACUGAUGGAAACGGGAAUGGAUUGACUGAGGCAUUCGUUCCAAACUCUGGCGUUUCAAAGCCGACAAUAAGCUAUACGAUUAAGGCUAUUAAUGAUGAUGUCAAAUUCUUCCGAUUUUCUGCCAAAGUAUGGAAUGUCCAAACUAUCCAAGUGUUUGUCCUUGACAGCAGCAACAAUCCUGUUGCGCCUAUCAAUCCCCGAGAGGU